UUCCUGGGGCAAAGGCUCUUAAAAGGGAUUUUAUUAGAGCAGAGUUAAACUUCUUUAUUAUUCAUUUUCUAAAUACCAAUUUUUAUUAAGGUAAAAAUGUGUAUAAUUCAGAAGCCGAAGCUACCGAAGAUGUCCACACAACGGGUAUAUUAUAAAUAUAAACAGUUUGCACUAGGUAGGAUAUCGUUAAUCUACAAUAUUUGGAGAAAAAAAACGCUGUACUAAUACAUACAUCCUGUUCAAAGAAAUGUCUUGGUGACAAGCUAACAACAGGAAUACCCGUUCUGGUUUUUCCGUCUGCUUUAAAAUUGUCAAACGGCGGCCAUUUCUCGUUGCCACGAACGCUGUUAAUCAACAAGAUAGUGUACUAAAAUUUUUUUAGCUUCAAGAUUUCAAAACAAGAACAAUAACUAUCAUUGAAAAAAUAUUCCAAUUUUGACAAAAGUAGAAAUGAAUCAAUCGACAGUCAGCUCUGUUGAUAUUAGCCACACAUUUGUUUUUCAGAUCUGAGUGGGACAGAAUGACAGACGGACGAACAGAUACAAACCUAAUAGCGGAUUUUCUCCUUACGGGGGCCGCAAAAAUAUAUAUAUAUAUAAUUCACAAUGUAAGAAUUCGAGUAUUCGAUACUAGAUGGAAAAUUGGAGAGAUAUUCAGUUUUUAAUUUCUAGGCUUCACUUCAAGUUGUUGUCCUAUUAUUUGAUGCUAACAUGAUUCGAUCGAAUAUAAUUUGCUCUGGUGAUAAGUGUUCUAUAAUUCACAGGCUAAAUUAAUGUAGUUUGAGGGCUAGUUAGCAUUCAAACGUGUCAAAUAAACGAGCAUAAUUAAUAGAAUACCAUUGAUAUUUCCUAGAAAUAUAUAAAUCUAUAUUCCUUUUUGUUAGUCUGUUAUUUAAAAAAUCAUAUUUAAAUACGUUGUAUAUAUAAAUCUGUCCCUUGGUCUGUUAUAAGUCUUGUUGUGAAAGUUACAAAAGGAUUGAUACUAAAAAGCUGACAUGACCGAGUGGAUGUGAUCCAGUUCACAGCUGUACAGUAGGUAGACAUCCGACGCUGGAGACAUUCCCGUACACAAAAAAAGGAGUUGCUGAGUUGAACUUGAGCCAUGGGCGUGUCCACUAGUUUGGUGUUCAUUAGUUUGUGAAAGUUUAUCAACUCAUAGGUGAAGCUACUAACUAAUACUUCCAUUUCACAGAUAUGUAGUGGGUUGCUUUCAUUCGUUCUGAAGAGAAAUAUUUAUAAAACAAAACUGAUAAAAACUGUCCAUAAUUUAACAUUAAUAUUAAUAAACUUGAAUGAUACUAAAUCUUCUACAAGAAUGUAACUAAUUUUAAUGUCCAGAUAAUCACUCAACAUAAUAUUCGAUCGAAUAUAAUUUGCUUUGGUGAUAAGUGUUCUAUAAUUCACAGGCUAAAUUAAUGUAGUUUGAGGGCUAGUUAGCAUUCAAACGUGUCAAAUAAACUACAAAUUAAAUUUAAGCUAAUGGGAGCUGUGUGCCUCCUGCAGUCAAACAAUAUUAGAAAUUUCAAACUUUUAAUUAGUCAAAGCAAGGCGAAGGUCUCCUCUAGUGGCUACAUCCAGUCUUUUUCUUUGCUUAAUUAUUAGGUUUGUUACGCACUAGAUAUAGGUUAACCAUGUAUGUUGAUAGAAAGCUAAAACAUAAUUCCAUUUUCGACCACAGUUUUACAAUUUGACUGAAACCUUCAAGUGCAGCCACAUCUCUGUUGUGCCUCCUGUGUGAACAUUUUUUUUUACUGAAGACAUAAUUUUGUAAAUCUAUUUUUUUCCUGCAACUCAAUUUGAACACCAGUAACAGAUGUUUUUCAAUUGUUAUUUAUAAUUAUUUUUAUUUAUUUAUUUACAUCCUAGAAGCGAAUUGUAAUUUCUUCAUAGAGCAUUGUUAUGUGAAUUGCAUAGAUAUCGAUGUACUUAGGCAAUUCAUUUAUCAACAAAUAAGUUAUGUUAGGUUGUAAAACCCUUUAAAAUAGAUUUAAUAUCUCGAUAAAAGAGAAAAUGAUGUAAUCAAUGAAAGUCAAUUUCUUUGCUUGCAGUCGGAGGUUGGUUUCAUUCGUUUGCAUUAGAUUUUUUAGCCUGCUUUAAGUCAUUUCCAACCAUUGAAUCCCCCUGUUUCUUUUUUUUUUAAAUAAAAAAUUGUAUUUAAGAGCUUAACAAAACAAGCAAUAACAAAUUACUUUCGAAAUCCAGCGAACUUAACUUUAUAACAAGAAUCUAUGAUUAUUCUCAUUAUUUGUUUCACAAAACUGGUGAAAGAUGCGCUUAUUUUCGGCACGGGUUUGUAUUUUAUUUAAAAUUGUUAUAAUUAGAUUAAAAAAGUAAUGAAAUUGAGGGCUAAACUAUUAUUAAUAUGUUGCCUGUGUAUCAUAACUCACAAUGUGAAUAGUGAAUAGAUCUGUUCUUUAUUCUAUAUUACUUAUGAAGCCAUUGUAGCGUCCAACCACUGAUGGUUCCUUAUAUGUCGUCAUAAGCUACAUAACUAGACAAUUUUGUAAAAAUAUUUCAUCACUAACAAAAAAAAGUUUUUUGUGUCACAGCUAUGUUUUGAAAAUUUUUAAUUUUAGUUUUCAUCAAUUUUCAAACAAUAUCUUUAAAAAGCUAUGCAUUUUCUUAAGAGGGCGCUAAAACAUAUCCUGCUUUGCCGGUUUUUUUUUUAUAAAUAGUGUUUGAAUAGUAGAUUUGUAUAUAUGUUCAUGGAUAUUCAAAAAAUUUUUUUGGGAUAUAGCUAUAUGUUCGUGAAACCGAUUGGGUUUCAUAAUCUCAUCUGACAAUGCCGUCAUUCAAAGUAGAACAUUGUAAUACGUUUUAUCUAGUUGCUAGUCACUAUAACUCUUAUUUGGGAGGCACUAUAUAUCAACGAGUUUUAGUAACAACACUUUGUCAAUGUUUUUUUUUGUUUUAAAAUUUGUUAAAUUAUUAUAUUUGAAUGUUAGCUUUAACAAUUUUUUAAAUUAACAU